GGAUGUGUUGUAUUUUGGCCUCAUCAUAUACGUGCAUACAUACAUAGGUAUGCUUGUAAUAUAUGGUUACAUAUGGAGCUGCUUGCCAUGUAUGCAUGCACCUGUAGACAGCAAUUAAGUGGAUGUACUACGGAGGGGAGUUCGUCCUUACAUGCAUUAGCUCCGACGGUGGCAUCAUUACUUGCUCCUAAUAGUCACGGCCCAAAGAAAUCACAAAGAGGCCAGAAGUGACUGACCCAAAUACGAUAUCAGUCGAUUGACAUGUAGUCAAUCCCUCCAUCGUCACCACAGCCCCGGUCCGCUGCCUCCUCCUCUCGUCAGCCACCGCCGCACGAACCUCCCGAGUUGGGGCGGGCACAGAAGGCCGUGGCGAGUCUGGGACCGCAUCCGUCCUCCGUCCCUCGUCGGCCGCCGCUACUGCUUAUCCUCUCUCCUGUCCUGGCCUUGUCUCCUGCGACUGGUGGUGGAAAGCCAUGGGUGGUGGAGAGGAGGAAGGGAGGUAGGCGAACAACGGAGAAGGGGAUGGACGGGGGCUUCACUCCCAGAUUUUGUGCCCCGAGCCAUGGAUGGCUGAGAGAAGGAAGUGGCCUACGCUCCUUUCUCAGGUUUUUUGCAAUGGUGCUUCUCCGCUGGAUGGGUACAGCUGGUUGAGGUUAAUUUUGUGUCGUCUUUCCUUCGUACGUCAUCGCAACAUUCUCACUUUCGCAUUGAAGGAAAGACGUUGUGGAUGAUGAUAUUAUGAAUACAACUCCUGUCAACAUUGAAGAGGUGUCAGAUAGGCAAGUCUACAGGCAUGUGGUUAGAGAAGCACCUUCAAAAGAUCAGGACGUAUUCCUGGAUUGGCAAUUAUGACAGGAUGGUAUGAGCAGAGCAGCGAGGAAUGAGAUGUUUUUUUGGAAGAAUGAGAUGAACAUUAACAGGGUAUCAAGGUUGCUGUUGCCCAUCCUUAGAAAAAAAUCUUGUAGUUACUCAUGUAAUAUUCACACUGCCGAUGACAAUGUAUCAUAUGCGUGAUAGACUACAUGUGUUAGUAUGUUGCAAGAUAACCAUUCAAACAGGUAUUCAGUUACAAGAGUGACAAGUAUGACUUCAUGCAGAUUUGUUGAUCAACAUACAUUUUCAUGAUUAUGUGAAUGUAUAUGUCUUUUUGUAGAAGAAAUGUAAAAGGUGAAAGCUAUAGCCCCAUAUAGGACCUUGCACUGGCCAUCCAAUAAAAACCACAACAGUUAAGCCCGUGUGAAAAAACUCGACACGUUGAUUGAAAUGUGGGUUUGAAAUGGGAUCUUGUGUUGGCCAUCCACUAAAAGCCACAGAAGUUAAACUAGCAUGGAAAAAAAGUUUAACACGUUGGUUAAAAU